CUGAGCUCCAUGUGGUGGGCCGAAGGUCCGGGAAACCCGUUGAACCCCGGUCGUGCUAGGGAUAGGGAAUUGCAAUUAUUUCCCUUGAACGAGGAAUUCCCAGUAAGCGCGAGUCAUUAGCUCGCGUUGAUUACGUCCCUGCCCUUUGUACACACCGCCCGUCGCUACUACCGAUUGAAUGGUUUAGUGAGGUCCUCCGAUUGGACCCGGUCCGGGCGGCGACGUCCGAGCCGGCGUCCGAGAAGACGAUCUAACUUGAUCAUUUAGAGGAAGUAAAAGUCGUAACAAGGUUUCCGUAGGUGAACCUGCGGAAGGAUCAUUA
rnacentral:ncRNA from 1 species